GACACCUAGUCUCUUGGCUAAUUGCUGGGUUCUGAAAUUUUCAAUAGAUAAAUUUUAUAUAUUUGUACCUAUGAGUGUAUUAUAUUGCCUAUUCUGUUAUUCUGAAUCACUAAACUAAUGUAUAUGGGAUAUUCAGCAAUACUUAAACAGAAGACGACAAAAUGAAAUAAUGGCCAAAAUCCAAGCAGCUAUUAUACAGAUUCCUAAACCUGCAUCAAAUCGUACUUUGAAAGCACUCGAGGCCCGAAAAAUGAUGAAAAAGAAAAAGGAGGCAGAAGAUGUGGCCGAUGAAAUUAAGAAGUUCGAAGCAUUAAUAAAAAAGGAUCUCCAAGCAAAAGAAAGUGCAUCCAAGACUUCUUUAGAUACAGCAGGCCAGACAACCACCGAUUUGUUAAAUACUUACUCAGAUGACGAGUACAUUAAAAAAAUCCAGAAGCGCCUUGAAGAAGAUGCUUUUGCACG
rnacentral:sRNA from 1 species